AGAACUCUUUCGCUCACAUUUCGUAAGU
rnacentral:piRNA from 1 species